rnacentral:lncRNA from 1 species
GUUUUUGUUUUCAUUUGAGAUUGAGUUUAUAAACCAUCCUCAUGCAGAAUACUCUGGUAAUAUACCAACCUUUGGUAAUAUACUAACCUCUCUUGAGUACUAUGCAUCUGUGCUCCCAGUAACAUGUUGGCUGCUUAAUGAUUGCUUGUAAUGUUUUGUUAUAUUUUUUAAGAAAUGCUACAAGAUGACAUUAAUACUUCAGCUGCAUUGCAUUUCAUGGCCUCUGUACAAAAAAAAGCCAUAGGAAGUCAGGAUGCAAGUACAAAUACAGAGCCAGUACAAGAUAAGGAAGCUGCUUCUCAAGAAGUUAUAUCUGAAAGUGGUAAAAAUCAACAAAUCAUUUCAUGUGUCCCAGAACAUGAACCUUUGAAUGAUCCUCAGCUGCUGAUACCAGAUGUGUAUCUAAAUGUCAGACUUUCCAGUGAAUAUCAGAGAAA